rnacentral:rRNA from 1 species
GACGAACGCUGGCGGCGUGCUUAACACAUGCAAGUCGAACGACGUCGCGAACGGGUGAGUAACGCGUUAUCCUCCUCCCUUUCAGAGGGGGACAACAGUUGGCAACGACUGCUACUACCGAAUACUGUAGGAGGGGCUUGCGUCGGAUUAGCUCGUUGGAGGGGUAACGGGCCACCACGGGGAUGAUAAGGAGCCGGGCUGGGGGGAUGAACGGCCAAAAUGGGACUGAGACACGGACCAGACUCCUACGGGAGGCAGCAGUGGGGAAGCUUCCGAAAUGGACGAAAGUCUGACGGAGCAACGCCGCGUGAGUGAUGACGGCCUUCGGGUUGGAAAGCUAUGUUAAUCGGGACGCGGUACCGGAAUAGGAAGCAACGGCUAACUACGUGCCAGCAGCCGCGGUAAUAC